rnacentral:rRNA from 1 species
GUUGUAUGGUUAAGUGACUAAGCGUACACGGUGGAUGCCUUGGCAGUCAGAGGCGAUGAAAGACGUAGUAACUUGCGAUAAGCCCAGAUUAGGUAGUAACAACCAUUUGAGUCUGGGAUUUCUGAAUGGGGAAACCCACGUGCAUAAGCACGUAUCCUUACCUGAAUACAUAGGGUAAGGAGGCGAACCGGGGGAACUGAAACAUCUAAGUACCCCGAGGAAAAGAAAUCAACCGAGAUUCCGAAAGUAGCGGCGAGCGAAAUUGGACUAGCCCUUAAGCUUUACACGCGUUAGACGAACGGUCUGGAAAGUCCGACGAUACAGGGUGAUAGUCCCGUAGUUGACGACGUGUGUUCAGUGAAAUCGAGUAGGGCGGGACACGUGAUAUCCUGUCUGAAUAUGGGGGGACCAUCCUCCAAGGCUAAAUACUACUGACUGACCGAUAGUGAACCAGUACCGUGAGGGAAAGGCGAAAAGAACCCCUGUGAGGGGAGUGAAAUAGAACCUGAAACCGUGUACGUACAAGCAGUAGGAGCACCUUCGUGGUGUGACUGCGUACCUUUUGUAUAAUGGGUCAGCGACUUAUAUUCAGUGGCAAGGUUAACCAUCUAGGGGAGCCGUAGGGAAACCGAGUCUUAACUGGGCGUUCAGUCUCUGGAUAUAGACCCGAAACCAGGUGAUCUAGCCAUGGGCAGGUUGAAGGUUGAGUAACAUCAACUGGAGGACCGAACCGACUAAUGUUGAAAAAUUAGCGGAUGACUUGUGGCUAGGGGUGAAAGGCCAAUCAAACCUGGAGAUAGCUGGUUCUCCCCGAAAGCUAUUUAGGUAGCGCCUCGGACGAAUACUACUGGGGGUAGAGCACUGUUAAGGCUAGGGGGUCAUCCCGACUUACCAACCCUUUGCAAACUCCGAAUACCAGUAAGUACUAUCCGGGAGACACACGGCGGGUGCUAACGUCCGUCGUGGAGAGGGAAACAACCCAGACCGCCAGCUAAGGUCCCAAAUUACUACUAAGUGGGAAACGAUGUGGGAAGGCUCAGACAGCCAGGAUGUUGGCUUAGAAGCAGCCAUCAUUUAAAGAAAGCGUAAUAGCUCACUGGUCGAGUCGGCCUGCGCGGAAGAUGUAACGGGGCUAAGUAGUAAACCGAAGCUGCGGCAAUAUACUUUUGUAUAUUGGGUAGGGGAGCGUUCUGUAAGCGGUUGAAGGUGUGUGGUAACGCAUGCUGGACGUAUCAGAAGUGCGAAUGCUGACAUGAGUAACGAUAAAGGGGGUGAAAAACCUCCUCGCCGGAAGACCAAGGGUUCCUGUCCAACGUUAAUCGGGGCAGGGUAAGUCGACCCCUAAGGCGAGGCCGAAAGGCGUAGUCGAUGGGAAACGGGUUAAUAUUCCCGUACUUCUUACAAUUGCGAUGGGGGGACGGAGAAGGCUAGGUGGGCCUGGCGACGGUUGUCCAGGUUCAAGUGCGUAGGCUUAAGAGUUAGGUAAAUCCGGCUCUUUUUAAGGCUGAGACACGACGUCGAGCACCUACGGGUGUGAAGUCAUUGAUGCCAUGCUUCCAGGAAAAGCCUCUAAGCUUCAGAUUGUAAGGAAUCGUACCCCAAACCGACACAGGUGGUCGGGUAGAGAAUACCAAGGCGCUUGAGAGAACUCGGGUGAAGGAACUAGGCAAAAUGGUACCGUAACUUCGGGAGAAGGUACGCUCUUGAUGGUGAAGUCCCUCGCGGAUGGAGCUGACGAGAGUCGCAGAUACCAGGUGGCUGCAACUGUUUAUUAAAAACACAGCACUGUGCAAAAUCGUAAGAUGACGUAUACGGUGUGACGCCUGCCCGGUGCCGGAAGGUUAAUUGAUGGGGUUAGACUUCGGUCGAAGCUCUUGAUCGAAGCCCCGGUAAACGGCGGCCGUAACUAUAACGGUCCUAAGGUAGCGAAAUUCCUUGUCGGGUAAGUUCCGACCUGCACGAAUGGCGUAAUGAUGGCCACGCUGUCUCCACCCGAGACUCAGUGAAAUUGAAAUCGCUGUGAAGAUGCAGUGUACCCGCGGCUAGACGGAAAGACCCCGUGAACCUUUACUACAGCUUGGCACUGAACAUUGACCCUACAUGUGUAGGAUAGGUGGGAGGCUUUGAAGCACGUACGCCAGUAUGUGUGGAGCCGUCCUUGAAAUACCACCCUUGUAGUGUUGAUGUUCUAACGUCGACCCCUUAUCGGGGUUGCGGACAGUGCCUGGUGGGUAGUUUGACUGGGGCGGUCUCCUCCCAAAGAGUAACGGAGGAGCACGAAGGUGGGCUAAUCACGGUUGGACAUCGUGAGGUUAGUGCAAUGGCAUAAGCCCGCUUGACUGCGAGAAUGACAAUUCGAGCAGGUGCGAAAGCAGGUCAUAGUGAUCCGGUGGUUCUGAAUGGAAGGGCCAUCGCUCAACGGAUAAAAGGUACUCCGGGGAUAACAGGCUGAUACCGCCCAAGAGUUCAUAUCGACGGCGGUGUUUGGCACCUCGAUGUCGGCUCAUCACAUCCUGGGGCUGAAGUCGGUCCCAAGGGUAUGGCUGUUCGCCAUUUAAAGUGGUACGCGAGCUGGGUUUAGAACGUCGUGAGACAGUUCGGUCCCUAUCUGCCGUGGGCGUUGGAAGAUUGAAGGGGGCUGCUCCUAGUACGAGAGGACCGGAGUGGACGAACCUCUGGUGUUCGGGUUGUGUCGCCAGACGCAUUGCCCGGUAGCUAAGUUCGGAAUCGAUAACCGCUGAAAGCAUCUAAGCGGGAAGCGAGCCCUGAGAUGAGUCUUCCCUGAUACUUUAAGUAUCCUAAAGGGUUGUCGGAGACUACGACGUUGAUAGGUCAGGUGUGUAAGUGCUGUGAGGCAUUGAGCUAACUGAUACUAAUUGCCCGUGAGGCUUAACCAUACAACACCCAAGGGGUUU